CUGCACGUAGCCUCCCGGGCUCAUCUGAUUUAUAUUUUUACAUGAAGUUAGAAGCCCCAAAGCUCGUGCUACACAUUUUUUGCCGUUUAGUGUUGCAGUAUUAGCCUUUUUGUACCUUUAAUCCAUGGCUUAUCUGUGUCAAAUUAACGGCUAAAUCC
rnacentral:snoRNA from 1 species